CCUGGGGCCCAGGAACACUUCCCAGAUGCAGAACAAGAGAGCAUGUCGUUCUUAGGUAUGUGACCACAGAUGUGAAAGGGAAAAAGUGAGGCGGUAUUGGUCAGAAGAGCGGCGUCCUCAGCAUGCUGCCAGUGUAGCUGUAAUCAAAUUAUCGGAGGCUUCCACGGCUGGAGGAAUUAACGAGUCAGGUUUGAAGCAGGACCGGUGUGAAGGGCAACGCAGCAGAAAUCACAAAGGGAGCCAUUUGUACAUUAACAGAUGGUUUGUGGAGGGUGUCGUCAGGGGUUACUUGGCAGUGAGAGUUCUCUGUGGGGGGGUUUUGCCUGCCUCUCCCCUGUGUAUCACGUCCAGGGACCCCCUUCCUUCAGCAGGUUGUGACCUGGUGACCCAAGACAGCUGGAAGAAGCAACCCAAAAUCCAACCCGUGGGUGCUGACACCUGAGAGCUGCCUUUCCCGUCUGCUCCAGCCCUACACCAAGGCAUCAA
rnacentral:lncRNA from 1 species